AUGGAGGAGAAAUCUUGUCCUGUGAAGGACCUGCCCCAUGUGCUUUUGAAGCUAUUCAAAUGGUCCAUUCUUGGUUGCCUUCAGCAUCAAAUUUUCGGGUCCGUUUCACAUCUGAGAUCUGCUGCUCCCCCCCAGCGUGGUACACAAGGUGGAAGCAAGCUGCUGGAGAAAGAAAAUAAUCUUACCCUGAUGGCUGUCUUUGCCUAUAAACUUAGAGUGGUAGAAAAAUGUUUGCAGGAGUUUCAGGCCUUUAUCAGAACUAGCACCUGCUCUGAGGGGCAAAAGAGAGCUCUCAUGUCGUCAGAGGACUGCAGGAAGCUUUGUUCUCAGGAACCUGCCCAUUAGGCUGUCCUGAGCUGAACUACAACUUCAGUGGGAAAAUGUUGCACCAAUGGGGGGUUCCAGACACUUGUGGAGUGUGGUGGAUUUUUU
rnacentral:lncRNA from 1 species